UACGUAGGGGGCAAGCGUUGUCCGGAAUCAUUGGGCGUAAAGAGCGUGUAGGCGGUCCGGUCAGUCGGUUGUGAAAGUCAAGGGCUCAACCCUUGAAUGCCGGCCGAUACUGCCGGGCUAGAGUCCGGAAGAGGUGAGUGGAAUUCCUGGUGUAGCGGUGAAAUGCGCAGAUAUCAGGAAGAACACCCGUGGCGAAGGCGGCUCUCUGGUACGUGACUGACGCUGAGACGCGAAAGCGUGGGGAGCAAACAGG
rnacentral:rRNA from 1 species